CCUACGGGAGGCAGCAGUGAGGAAUAUUGGUCAAUGGUCGGGAGACUGAACCAGCCAAGCCGCGUGAGGGAGGAAGGUACAGAGUAUCGUAAACCUCUUUUGUCAGGGAACAAAGGCGGGGACGUGUCCCCGGAUGAGUGUACCUGAAGAAAAAGCAUCGGCUAACUCCGUGCCAGCAGCCGCGGUAAUAGGGAGGAUGCGAGCGUUAUCCGGAUUUAUUGGGUUUAACGGGUGCGCAGGCGGUCUGUUAAGUCAGCGGUGAAAGCCCGGGGCUCAACCCCGGCCCGCCGUUGAAACUGGCAGUCUCGAGUUGGAGAGAGGUAUGCGGAAUGCGCGGUGUAGCGGUGAAAUGCAUAGAUAUCGCGCAGAACUCCGAUUGCGAAGGCAGCAUGCCGGCUCCACACUGACGCUGAGGCACGAAAGCGUGGGUAUCGAACAGGAUUAGAUACCCCGGUAGUC
rnacentral:rRNA from 1 species